GAUUAACGCUAGCGGCAGGCAUAAUACAUGCAAGUUGAACGGGAUAAGUUUAGCAAUAAACUUUGAGAGUGGCGCACGGGUGCGUAACACGUAUGCAACCUACCCGAUACAGGGGGAUAGCCUCUCGAAAGAGAGAUUAAUACCCCAUAACAUAGAGUAUAGGCAUCUAUAUUUUAUCAAAGUUCCGACGGUAUCGGAUGGGCAUGCGGUUGAUUAGCUAUUUGGUGAGGUAACGGCUCACCAAGGCGACGAUCAAUAGGGGGUCUGAGAGGAUGUCCCCCCACACUUGUACUGAGACACGGACCAGACUCCUACGGGAGGCAGCAGUAGGGAAUAUUGGUCAAUGGGGGCAACCCUGAACCAGCCAUGCCGCGUGCAGGAAGACUGCCCUAUGGGUUGUAAACUGCUUUUGUACGGGAAGAAAUGUCACUAUGCGUAGUGAUUUGACGGUACCGUAAGAAUAAGGAUCGGCUAACUUCGUGCCAGCCGCCGCCGUAACAC
rnacentral:rRNA from 1 species